AGCUGUGUGCAGUGGCAGUAUUGUAGCCAAUGAGGUUUAUCUGAGGCAUGAUUAUUGCUAAUUGAAAAUUUUUCCCAAUACCCUGCCCUGAUAACUUGAAAUAUAGUCGGCAUUGGCAAUUUUUGACAGUCUCUAUAGAGA